GAUAGAAACCAUUUGGAAGCCAUUGUUUAUGUUCCCUGAAAUGGGCUGAAAAGAACAGCUCUUCUGAGACACAGCUUUACACUGAACAUACACAGAGCUGUGUCAUUAUUAAUUCUGAAAAUGAAUUUACAAUGGCUAGGUAAAAUAUUUAGUUAAUAUUUAAAUAUUUUGAUCUAUUAUAGCUUAUAGGCAAAUUUUAGAUUUCUACUGCACCUAACACUUCCAAUUUAAAUAACCAGUUUCGUUAGGAGCUUUAGUGAUACAAAUUAAUAACAAAAGGCAGUUAAUACAGAGUGCAGUUAUGAGACCAAAAUACAUGUGGUUUAAAUUUAAAGAAUUAAAUGUUAGCAUUUCCCUAUAGAGAAAGCUUAUUUGGGCAGUGGUGUACUGACAUUAUCACCACCCACAGAGAAAGGGACCUGUUGAUCCUCAUGGUUAAGCUGGAAUUCAAAAAAAAAGAAUAUAUGUCUAGAGGGUUUUCUUGGUGUAAGUGAAUCACACAGGAAAAAUGCUGAUACCCGGAGUCAUUGUCGUGACCUUUGAUGGUUAGAAAGAGAAAUAAGCGUGCAAUAUUUUUUGUCAGGUUACUCACUAGGUAAAACUGGUCUUGGUUAUUAAUAUAGUGGAAAGUUAAAUGAUGACCGUGGAAAUAUGAUAAUCAGUGCUGUUGUAAAUUAGACAGAAAUGGUUUUCUGUGACCAUUAGGAAUGAUAAUCCAAUGUGUUAACCAUUGGGCUGAAGGGCUGCUAAGAAAAUAAAUGUGGAAGUGGAUAAAAUAAGGAUAAAAGUAUGUUUAGGUAGGUGUUUCUUCAAAGCUUCCUUCAGGAAGGUGUUUCUGGACACUACCCUACUGCUUCUGACAAAUUGUGUCUGUUAAGGUGAAGGUAAGCAAACAGCAUUCAUUUACCAGUAAAUAGUGCUAUCUGUAUCUCUGGAUUUCUGUUUAAGUGAAUGUUUAUAAUAAUUUUAUUGGACCUAGCUGGAAACAAAUCUAUUAAAAAUAACAAUUGCUAAUUGCCACUAUUUAAUGUUAGUUUAAUCUGACAACUCUGGAAUGGCUUUGCCUGUUAUUCCUGGAAGAAACUACAUAAAAUCGGGUAGUUUUGUGUAGUUUCAUAGCAGACAUGAGACUGCACGGAAAAGCCAGGUCUCAGCAUCACUGCACGGAAGCGAAUCUUGUCUAUGACCCUCGGUCUGACAGCUUGAACACAGGCUGAGUUAAACCCCAGGCUACCAGUACUCUGCACUUUGUCUUUUGAAACUUUCUGGGAGAGAUGCAGUUUCAAAAUGAAAAGUCAAAAUACAGUGGUUUACAAUCAGUUUUGCUUUUUUUUUUGAAGCUAAAACUCAAAGCAAAACUCCUGGGGUAUACGACUGUACGAAACAAAACAUAAGAAAGUUAACACAAAAACUCUGCGAACUGAACAAGCUAGUUUCACUCAGCUCUUGCAGUAACCCCUUUUUACAAGCUCACUUUUCAAUUGUAUGCGUGUGAGAUGUCAAAAAUGAGUUGGUUUCACUGCACCAACAGAGAAACACCGCAGCUCUAAAGCGUCACCCUCUGCCCAAGCAAGGUCUCACUCUCCAUCUCAGCUGACACUUAAGAUAUCUGCCAAGAGAUGAAAUUUUCUCAGUCCCAGGCUGGUUACAUACAGCUUUCAUCUGUCUGAAAAACAAGGGACUUGAGAGGCCAAUCCUGGCCCUUAUGUGGUUUAUAGUUGUAUCCAGCUCUGAACUAAUUAUUUAAAUCUCUACAUGACAAGAGUCACCCCACCUCUGCAAGGUUAUCCAAGCAUUCAUGUGUUUUAAGUUCAAAGCCUGGUAUUUCAGAGAUGCUGAACACCUGCUGCUCUUCUGAGCUGGUAUGGGAGCUGCAGGUGCUCAUGCCCUUUGAAGAUCAGACCUCUCCUCCCGAGGUACUCUUACUUACAGUGAAGCGAUGAGCAACCGUCUGCUGUGCUUUUGCAAAGCUUAGUAUAACUGGCUUGAAGCAAACCUGUGAACUGCAGUGAGACAGAGCUACUUUUGGUAGUCACUGCUGAGCGUGUAUGAGUUCAGACUGGUCAGGGCUCCUCUGUCUGCUGGGCAGCUGAUCCAUUUUCAUUCCCCCAAAACACUGAGGGACUGAACUCCUGAGCUUCCAGAAUUACCACUGAUGGAGAAGCAAGACCUGAGCAGCAGUGAGGCCAAGACUCAUUUUUAGUAACAAGCCCCAGACUAUUAGCUCUGCCGUUUUGCCACUGCUGGAGGAAAACAUGGACUCUUGCUGAGUUGUACGGUGAAUAUCUCAGAGAUACUUGAAUCUGCCACCAAUAAAAAGGCCUCUAAAUUGCUAGCAUGGAGGAACCAGUUCAAAGUAGAGGAAAUGGAAAAAUGGGAAAAAGAAGAAACAUUGCUUUGGAUAUUUAGCGCUUUCUCUUAUUUUUUAGAUUAUAUUUCUUCUGGGCUCCCAAAAUCUUUGGUAACAAACAAGUUUUCUUUUAAAAAGUAUUAAGUUAUCAAAACAUUUGCCAGGUCCUAAUAUUAAAUCCUAGCAGUCAGCAAUGUUUAAGUUCAGCCAUAUCAUUUUGCUGAGUAAGUAAUGCUAAAACUUAAAGUUUUCCCCUCAGAAUGAUCUUUCCAAAUGAGAUUGAUAUUGUGGGUAAAAAAGAAAAACAGAAUGAUGCCUUCAUCAUGAGGAAUUAUGGAAUUAAUUUUCUUUAUACACUCUGUUUGCAUAAGACAUUUUUGUUAACUCUUAAUAAAAAUACCAUUCAGCUGCUACUUUCAUUGUUUUUAUCCUGGGACCAAUACAACAUUGUCAUUAUUGGAUAUAAAGUGCUGUAAAAACAAAUCUAAUUUGUUAAGUUUAUUUUGAUAAGAAAUAAAUAUAAAGGUAGUGCAUGGUUUGUACAGUGCUGCUAUCAUAGGACUCCUGGGUAUAAUUUAUAUAAAGAAAAUAGGAAAGCAUACAUAACUUUGUAGUUGAUUUCCUUUAACAGGGCUAAUUGAAAACAGUUUCUGUUAUUUAAAAGUAAUUUAUUUUAAAUAUACUUUUUCAAACAAAGUUCUUAUUGAUAUCCAU